AAUUAGUUUGCAGGCAGGUGUUGAACAAGUAGAACCAGAAGGUACCUAUCAACACACCUCAUGCGCCCCCUCCAUGACAAAGCUUGCUUGCUUACUCAGCUUGCAACAAGCAAGUCUUGGUCGUCCUCUUCUACCCUCUAGCUAGCUAGCUUUAUCGACCCCCCAAGAAAAAGGAGCAACCAAAAUCUCAUACUAGAUCCAUUGAUGGGAGCUAGCUGGUUUGGUUAGCUGCAAUUUCAUGGCGCAUAAGAUCCAGGGUAUCAUGGUGAAAGUGAAACUAGCUGGGCAAGAAGUCAACUAAUCAAAAAAGCUUGCUAGCCGCCCUUGGAAGUUGGAAGUUGGAACUACACAAGGAAGAAGAAGACCAGAUCGAGGAAGGAAGCAAGCUAUAGGCUAGCACAGAGUUAGGUUAGGUGGAGAGAUGGCCAACAGGUGGUGGGACGAAGGGCGGUUGACGGAGUCGCCGGCAGCUGCAUCAGGCCUCGCCGGCAACCAGAACCGGCAGCAGCUGGAGGACGCCAUGGCGGCGCCCAAGGUGGACGGGGAGAGCAGCCACAGCGGCGGAGGGAGCGGGCAGGACGACGAGCACGAGCCCAAGGAGGGCGCGGUGGUGGUGCCGGCGAACCGGCGCCCGCGCGGCCGGCCGGCGGGGUCCAAGAACAAGCCCAAGCCGCCCAUCUUCGUCACGCGGGACAGCCCGAACGCGCUGCGCAGCCACGUGAUGGAGGUGGCCAGCGGCGCGGACGUCGCCGAGUCCAUCGCGCACUUCUCCCGCCGCCGGCAGCGCGGCGUCUGCGUGCUCAGCGGCGCCGGCGCCGUCGCCGACGUCGCCCUGCGCCAGCCCGCCGCGCCCGGCGCUGUCGUCGCGCUCCGCGGCCGCUUCGAGAUACUCUCCCUCUCCGGCACCUUCCUCCCCGGGCCCUCGCCGCCGGGCUCCACCGGGCUCACCGUGUACCUCGCCGGCGGGCAGGGGCAGGUGGUCGGGGGCAGCGUCGUGGGCGCGCUCACCGCCGCGGGGCCCGUCAUGGUGAUCGCAUCCACCUUCGCCAACGCCACCUACGAGCGGCUGCCGCUGGACGACGCCGAGGAGGAUCACCAGCUAGAGGCCGCCCGCAUGCACGGAGCCCCCGGCGGUGGUGUCCCUCCGAUGAUGGCCGGCGACCCCUCCGCCGCGGGGAUGCCGAUGUACGGCGUGCCGCCGAACCUGAUGCCUGGAGGCGGUGGGCAUGCGGCGCCGGAAUGGGCGGCGCAUGCACGGCUGCCCUACUAGCUACCUAGCACCAUUCAAUCAGGAGUAGUCGACGUUUCCAAGCAUCAAGAUCAGCUCCCCUCAUCCUCAUCGAAAUCCAUCCUACCAAUAACUAGACUUGCAUUGCAUAUAUUUAGCAGCUGGUUGAUGUUGCCAUGACUGCACAAGGUGGCCAUGUGUAGUCAUUUCAUCAAGUUUAUGGGACUUCUUUAUUCUCCUGAUCCCCAAAGAUAGGAUUAGGAAAGACACGAGAAUUUGGUAUAAUGAAAUGUUUUUUAACAUGGUUGUGUUUUUUUUAGUUCGAAGUUUUUUUGUUUUUGAGGGUGUAUGGUUUUGUAGCACCAAACAAUGAAAAAAAAAUUGUGCUUCAUUCUACCUCCCGAAGAAAGAAAGGGCGUCCUCGCGUAGCCGCCAGAAGCGUCUUCUUCUGUCGCCGUCCUCCGACGACUCCCCUCGCCGAAGAUCUCGGUCGUCAGUGGUGAGGGGGGUCGCCGGAUCCACGCGUGUGGAUAGUUUAAGCCAUGGUAGCUUAGGUUUUUAGGCUGUUCAUCUUGGCUUCGGCGACGAUGAUGGCGACGCUAAAUAAAGAAUCUUCAUAUCCUUCC